rnacentral:lncRNA from 1 species
GUAUCAAAAGUGUUAAAUUCCGAUUGAUAGCAUUGACACAUAUUGCCAGAGAAAUAAGUUGAAAGUUGAUAAACCAAAAAUAAUCAUAUUAGAGGUCUGAACCAUUCUGUUGCUAAAAUAUGAUUAUUAAUGGUACAUUUUCUGAAAUAUUUGAAUUAUUUAAUGCCAGUAGAUGCUAGUAUUUCUCAAAAGAUAUGGAAAUAAUUUGCAGCAAAGUCAUACAGCAAACUACUGUGUAUAUUUAUGUACAUAUUUAAACACAAAAUAGCCUUUUGGCAAAGAUCAAAGUUCUUGAAAUGUAUGUAAGCUAAAAAUAUGAAAUACAUUUAUUUAUAACUCAUUUGUGUAUAUAUAUAUAUUCAUUUUAGCAUUUGUAUAUAUAUGUGUCCAUUUAUAUACUUAUAACCUAUUUUCUUUUGAACAGAGCAUAAAUUUUCUUAGCUCACAUCUUGUAGCUGUUCUGUCUAUAUUUUUAUUAAUAUUAUUUGACGGAACAUUUUCAAAUCUAUUUCAUAUGUACUUCAUUUUAUUUACGUUAUGAGUAUUUUUGACUAUGUUGUAUUAUAUCUGCAUAAAUUAUAUUAUAAUAAAUGAUAUGAUGUAGAAACUUU